GUGUGCGGGCAGUGGGAGCAGAGAGCAGAGUCUCGUUUAUUCCUAGGUUUUAGUGAAACACAGGACACCACGGUUCUUGCCCCUCCCGCAGCCCCCUCAGGGGAUCUUCCUGACCCAGGGAUCGAACCGGGAUCUCCUGCAUGGGAGGCAGAUUCUUUAACACUGAGCCGCCUGAGAAGGCUGGAACUGAAGAUUAACUGCACAUCAAACAGACAAGGUCUGACGCUGGCCAGGCACCCAAUGACCGAUCUGAAGAUGACUGUCAGAGCUGACUGUGCUGUUUCUGCAUGUAGCCCCCUCCUUCUGUCUGUAAAAGCUGUGACCCUCUGGUUGCCAGUGGGGGGAGAGUCAACCCUCAGACAGAUGUCCACCACCCUCCCCUCCACCAGCUGCCAGCAUCUGAAAUAAAGCAAACUUUUCUUCCCAUGAACCCAGCCUGCUGAUUGGCUUUUGAGCGACAAGCAGCCAGACCUCACCAC
ensembl:lncRNA